rnacentral:rRNA from 1 species
UGGGGAAUCUUGGACAAUGGGGGCAACCCUGAUCCAGCCAUGCCGCGUGAGUGAUGAAGGCCUUAGGGUCGUAAAGCUCUUUCGCCUGUGAAGAUAAUGACGGUAGCAGGUAAAGAAACCCCGGCUAACUCCGUGCCAGCAGCCGCGGUAAUACGGAGGGGGUUAGCGUUGUUCGGAAUUACUGGGCGUAAAGCGCACGUAGGCGGACCAGAAAGUUGGGGGUGAAAUCCCGGGGGCUCAACCCCGGAACUGCCUCCAAAACUAUUGGUCUAGAGUUCGAGAGAGGUGAGUGGAAUUCCAAGUGUAGAGGUGAAAUUCGUAGAUAUUUGGAGGAACACCAGUGGCGAAGGCGGCUCACUGGCUCGAUACUGACGCUGAGGUGCGAAAGUGUGGGGAGCAAACAGGAUUAGAUACCCCUGGUAGUCCACACCGUAAAACGAUGAAUGCCCAGUCGUCGGGUAGCAUGCUAUUCGGUGACACACCUAACGGAUU